rnacentral:rRNA from 1 species
UACGGAGGAUCCAAGCGUUAUCCGGAUUUAUUGGGUUUAAAGGGUGCGUAGGCGGCUUAUUAAGUCAGGGGUGAAAGACGGUGGCUCAACCAUCGCAGUGCCCUUGAUACUGAUGAGCUUGAAUGAACUAGAGGUAGGCGGAAUGUGACAAGUAGCGGUGAAAUGCAUAGAUAUGACAUAGAACACCAAUUGCGAAGGCAGCUUGCUACACUAUCAUUGACACUGAGGCACGAAAAGCGUGGGGAUCAAACAGG